GACGAACGCUGGCGGCGUGCUUAACACAUGCAAGUCGAACGGAAAGGCCCUGCUGUUGUGGGGUGCUCGAAUGGCGAACGGGUGAGUAACACGUGUGUAACCUGCUCUCGACUUUGGGAUAACUUCAGGCAACUGGGGCUAAUAUCUGAAAGGAGCUCCCGCUGCAUGGGGGGGGUUGGAGAGUUUCGGCGGUUGGGGUUGGACUCGCGGCUUAUCAGCUUGUUGGUGGGGAAGUGGCUUACCAAGGCUUUGGCGGGUAGCCGGCAUGAGAGGGUGACCGGCUACAUCGGGACUGAGAUACGCCCCAGACUGCAACGGGAGGCAGCAGGGGGGAAUAUUGCACAAUGGGCGGAAGCCUGAUGCAGCGACGCCGCGUGCGGGAUGACGGCCUUCGGGUUGUAAACCGCUUUCGCCUGUGACGAAGCGUGAGUGACGGUAAUGGGUAAAGAAGCACCGGCUAACUACGUG
rnacentral:rRNA from 1 species